CUUACAACAAAGAAUAGCUACAGCUGUCGUGAUACCUACCAAUUGGAGCAGCCUGAUCAUUCAUUGCAUCCAUUUACCCCGGGGAGUUUCUGAUCCUUACCCUUUACUUUGUUUAGUUUUGCUUCUACAUUGGGGACAAUGUAGUAUUUUAGUUUGGGGGUGGGUGAGUAUUAGGAUACUUAGAAUACAUACUUUUCAACUGCUAAUCGAGUCCGUAUAACUGUUAAAAAAAAAAAUUGUUUAGUAGCGUUGACGACUUGCCGUCUAUGAAGAUAUUAUUUGUUUGAAUUGAGUACAUAUUUAGUUAGAUGCCGGAUAACAUCUUAACUUGUACUUUUACUUUAAAACUUAUCCAUGUUAGAUUUGAUUAUUUGAGCACAUAGACAUAUUGAUUUAUCACUUAUGUUGGUACACAAUGUAAUUUUUGUGGAAUUGUUGAUGUUGUUGACUUAGAUUUGAAUAAAAUUCCUGAGUACCUUAUUUAGAAACCAAACUGAAAAGAAGCAGUUUGGGGGUGAGAAGGUUAGUGCUUGUCUUCAUAGAAGUCCGAUGGUUUGGAAUUCUCGGAUCCCGGAGUUAAUUGAAAGGGUUGAGUUAAAAAGUCUAAAACGGGCACUGAUCAUCAUACAUUUUACUUCUUUUCGUAGUCUUUAUGACCCGAGUGAUUAAGCCUGUAAGGGUCUUUAAAACCUGGUGCCUUAUAGUCGUCUGACUCGGGAGUCAUCGGCCUAAAACUCGCUACAGGGGUCAUCUAGAAAGCUAAAUGGAAAGAAGCUUUGCACAUAAGAAAAAAAUAAAAAUAAAAAUAAAUAAAUAGUUGGAUUCUCAUAUCAAAAGAAAAAGUAACACAUCUUCUACUUAUCUUCGUAGCCUUUUUGACUCGGGUUAUUAAGCCUGCAAGGGUAUCUAAAAACCUGAUGCCCUAUAGUCGUCUGACUUGGGAGUCAUCGACCUAAAGCUCGCUACAUGGGUCAUUUAGAAAGUUUAAUGAAGAGAAGUCUUGCACAGGAUAUGUCAUAUGUAUUGAAGAAGAAAAAUUGAGAUAUAAAUUAUCAAAAGUGAGAUGUGCCUAGUAAUGACUUUGAGAUUUGAAUUCUAGAGAUUGGCGGUGUGGUUAUGAGAAAG
rnacentral:lncRNA from 1 species